GCAAGUCGCACGAGAACGUUCUGGCUUUGCCAGGACAAGUACAGUGGCGGACGGGUGCGUAUCGCGUAGAUAACCUACCCUCAGGCGCGGGACAAUCACGGGAAACCGUGGCUAAUACCGCACGUCGUCUGGACCCCGCAUGGGGACCAGAUGAAAGCCUUCGGGCGCCUUUGGAUGGGUCUGCGUUGGAUUAUCUUGUUGGUGAGGUAACGGCUCACCAAGGCAACGAUCCAUAGCUGGUCUGAGAGGACGAUCAGCCACACUGGGACUGAGACACGGCCCAGACUCCUACGGGAGGCAGCAGUGGGGAAUCUUGCACAAUGGGGUCACCCCUGAUGCAUCCAUGCCGCGUGGAGAAAGACACCCCUAUGGGGCGUAAACUCCUUUUCUGAAUGAAGAAACCCCUGUAGCUUCAGGGCGCGACGGUAGUUCAGGAAUAAGCACCGGCUAACUCCGUGCCAGCAGCCGCGGUAAUACGGAGGGUGCGAGCGUUGUCCGGAAUCACUGGGUGUAAAGGGUGUGCAGGCGGGGCAGCAAGUCGGAUGUGAAACCCCAUGGCUUAACCAUGGAGGUGCAUUCGAAACUGUUGCUCUUGACUCCCGGAUAGGCUGUCGGAAUUCGUGGUGUAGCGGUGAAAUGCGUAGAUAUCACGAGGAACACCAAACGCGAAAGCGGACAGCUGGACAGGUACUGACGCUCAAGCACGAAAGCGUGGGGAGCAGACAGGAUUAGAUACCCUGUUAGUCCACGCCGUAAACCAUGAAUGCUCACCGUUGCCUCGUUAGGGGGCAGUGGCUAGCUAACGCGCUAAGCAUUCCACCUGUGGAGUAUGGUCGCAAGGGC
rnacentral:rRNA from 1 species